rnacentral:rRNA from 1 species
GGGGGGGCUUCGAGUUUCACUCCAACCCAUGUGAACUUAUCUCUUUGUUGCCUCGGCGCAAGCUACCCGGGACCUCGCGCCCCGGGGGGCCCGCCGGCGGACAAACCAAACUCUGUUAUCUUCGUUGAUUAUCUGAGUGUCUUAUUUAAUAAGUCAAAACUUUCAACAACGGAUCUCUUGGUUCUGGCAUCGAUGAAGAACGCAGCGAAAUGCGAUAAGUAAUGUGAAUUGCAGAAUUCAGUGAAUCAUCGAAUCUUUGAACGCACAUUGCGCCCAUUAGUAUUCUAGUGGGCAUGCCUGUUCGAGCGUCAUUUCAACCCCUAAGCACAGCUUAUUGUUGGGACUCUACGGCUUCGUAGUUCCCCAAAGACAUUGGCGGAGUGGCAGCAGUCCUCUGAGCGUAGUAAUUCUUUAUCUCGCUUUUGUUAGGCGCUGCCCCCCCGGCCGUAAAACCCCCAAUUUUUUCUGGUUGACCUCGGAUCAGGUAGGAAUACCCGCUGAACUUAAGCAUAUCAAUAAGCGGAGGAA